rnacentral:rRNA from 1 species
AGAGUUUGAUCAUGGCUCAGGAUGAACGCUGGCGGCGUGCCUAAUACAUGCAAGUCGAGCGAAUGGAUUAAGAGCUUGCUCUUAUGAAGUUAGCGGCGGACGGGUGAGUAACACGUGGGUAACCUGCCCAUAAGACUGGGAUAACUCCGGGAAACCGGGGCUAAUACCGGAUAACAUUUUGAACUGCAUGGUUCGAAAUUGAAAGGCGGCUUCGGCUGUCACUUAUGGAUGGACCCGCGUCGCAUUAGCUAGUUGGUGAGGUAACGGCUCCCCAAGGCAACGAUGCGUAGCCGCCCUGAGAGGGUGAUCGGCCACACUGGGACUGAGACACGGCCCAGACUCCUACGGGAGGCACCAGUAGGGAAUCUUCCGCAAUGGACGAAAGUCUGACGGAGCAACGCCGCGUGAGUGAUGAAGGCUUUCGGGUCGUAAAACUCUGUUGUUAGGGAAGAACAAGUGCUAGUUGAAUAAGCUGGCACCUUGACCGUACCUAACCCAAAAGGCACGGGU